UACGUAGGUGGCAAGCGUUGUCCGGAUUUACUGGGCGUAAAGAGCGCGCAGGCGGUCGAAUAAGUCGAAUGUGAAAGCCCCCGGCUUAACUGGGGAGGGUCAUUCGAUACUGCUCGACUUGAAGGAGGAGAGGGUAGUGGAAUUCCCGGUGUAGUGGUGAAAUGCGUAGAUAUCGGGAGGAACACCAGUGGCGAAGGCGACUACCUGGCCUGUUCUUGACGCUGAGGCGCGAAAGCUGGGGGAGCAAACGGG
rnacentral:rRNA from 1 species